rnacentral:rRNA from 1 species
UACGGGGGGGGCAAGCGUUGUUCGGAAUUACUGGGCGUAAAGGGCUCGUAGGCGGCCAACUAAGUCAGACGUGAAAUCCCUCGGCUUAACCGGGGAACUGCGUCUGAUACUGGAUGGCUUGAGUGUGGGAGAGGAAUGCGGAAUUCCAGGUGUAGCGGUGAAAUGCGUAGAUAUCUGGAGGAACACCGGUGGCGAAGGCGGCAUUCUGGACCAUAACUGACACUGAGAGACGAAAGCCAGGGGAGCAAACGGG